rnacentral:rRNA from 1 species
CCUACGGGGGGCAGCAGUGGGGAAUAUUGCGCAAUGGGGGCAACCCUGACGCAGCAACGCCGCGUGAUUGAAGAAGGCCUUCGGGUUGUAAAGAUCUUUAAACAGGGACGAAGAAAUGACGGUACCUGAAGAAUACGCUCCGGCUAACUACGUGCCAGCAGCCGCGGUAAUAUGUAGGGAGCAAGCGUUCUCCGGAUGUCAUGGGUGUAAAGGGCGUGUAGGCGGGCCUGUAAGUCAGAAGUGAAAUCUGGGGGCUUAACCCCCAAACUGCUUUUGAAACUGCGGGUCUUGAGUGAUGGAGAGGCAGGCGGAAUUCCCAGUGUAGCGGGGAAAUGCGUAGAUAUUGGGAGGAACACCAGUGGCGAAGGCGGCCUGCUGGACAUUAACUGACGCUGAGGCGCGAAAGCGUGGGGAGCAAACAGGAUUAGAUACCCGUGUAGUC